rnacentral:rRNA from 1 species
AUUGAACGCUGGCGGCAAGCUUAACACAUGCAAGUCGAGCGGAGAUGAGGUGCUUGCACCUUAUCUUAGCGGCGGACGGGUGAGUAAUGCUUAGGACUCUGCCAUUUAGUGGGGGACAACAUUCCGAAAGGAAUGCUAAUACCGCAUACGUCCUACGGGAGAAAGCAGGGGCUCUUCGGACCUUGCGCUACACGAUGAGACUAGGUCGGAUUAGCUUGUUGGUGGGGGAAAGGCCUACCAAGGAGACGAUCUGUAGCGGGUCUGGGAGGAUGAUCCGCCAAACUGGGACUGAGACACGGCCCAGACUCCGACGGGAGGAAGCAGUGGGGAAUAUUGGACAAUGGGCGGAAGCCUGAUCCAGCCAUGCCGCGUGUGUGAAGAAGGCCUUUUGGUUGUAAAGCACUUUAAGCGAGGAGGAGGCUACUGAGACUAAUACUCUUGGAUAGUGGACGUUACUCGCAGAAUAAGCACCGGCUAACUCUGUGCCAGCCGCCGCGGUAAUAC